rnacentral:misc_RNA from 1 species
CAGAUGGGUAUAAGAGACAGGUGAGUCAUCGAAUCUUUGAACGCACAUUGCGCCCCUUGGUAUUCCGAGGGGCAUGCCCGUUCGAGCGUCAUUAUAACCCUUCAAGCCUAGCUUGGUGUUGGGGCCUGCUGUUACCGGCAGCCCUUAAAAUAAGUGGCGGUGCCAUCUGGCUCUAAGCGUAGUAAUACUUCUCGCUACAGGGUCCCGGUGGAUGCUUGCCAUCAACCCCUAAUUUUCUAUGGUUGACCUCGGAUCGGGUAGGGAUACCCGCUGAACUUAAGCAUAUCAAUAAGCGGAGGA